CCACACGCACACACACGGCGGCGUUCGCUCUCUUUCCGACUGACGUUGCGCAUGCUACGGCAGCGGCAGAAAAAACAACGCGAGAUAAAGCGGCAGCUAUUUUUGUAUGGGUCGUCGACUAGUCCACACGGACAUCGGAAAAUACGCGAGGGCGGCGCACGGCCAGUUGGAAAAUCACUAUCAGCAGGGCACACAAAGCACGGAGAAGCAGAGGAAAGCCGCGAGCCAAGCCAAAGUACACGGAAAGGCCGAGGAAAGCCAGAACAGCAAUGACGAAAUGAUUUGAAUUCGCUUGCCACUCGCAGUCAACGCGCAUAAUCGUAGCCAUCGCACACACACGGGCGAACGGGCCCACACACACACGGGCGAGAGCGAGUGCGGCCGAGUAGGGUGAAAGGGGCGGGCGGAACCGAGUGGGCGCAGCAGCAACAACAAGAAACAAGAACACGACGAAAACAAACGGCAAUUGCCGUGUGAACUGCACGGAAAACACAAACAAUGCGGAUACGCGAGAAGCGCAAGUUGCAGAGGGAGGAGAGGAGGGGGGAGAGGGAGAAGAAGGAGCACAAGGAGUCCUCCAAGGCGCAGGACAACAACAACAAGGAGAAGCCCACCGACCCGGAGGGUCCCUCACCAGCUCACGCGCCUGCGCCUGCUCCGGCACCCACUGUGACCCCACCGCCCAGCCUGCCGGCGGCCGAGAAGGUGGCCUUCGACAACCGCAUCAAGCGCAAGAACGUCCUGGCCCUCAACGAAAAGGUGGCCGCUCUGCGGGAGUACGAUCGUCUGCCUGUCUACAAGCACGUGGGCCGGCUGUUCAACUGCAGUCCGGACCAGAUCAAGCGGAUCGUGCAGCAGCGCCAGGAGAUCCUAAACGCGUGGGACCAGCGGACGCGUCGCAGCCAGGAUGCCAAGACCAUGGAGACGAAGACCGUGCGAGUAUCGAUGCUGGGCAAGGCCGUGUACGACUGGUUGCGGCGCAUGAUGUACUACAGGGACUUCAGCAUCACCGACGGACUCAUUCAGAAGAUGGCCUUGCAGUUCAAGAGCUCCAUGGGCCUGGCCCACUUCUUCCCACACCAGGAGUGGUGCGACAAGUUCCGGCGCACCUACAACAUCCAGCACAGCGACACCAGGCUGCUGAAGGUCGGCUACACGCAGGGCUACUCGGUGCAGAUCAAAGACAUCGUCAAGGACGUCAUGUCCGAGUGCAUGCCAGAGAGCGGGCCGCGAAGCGAGGCGCACGAGGACGACGAGGAAGUCAGCUUGGGCAGUCCGCUGAGUAGCAAUCCCCGCAGCUGCGGCGAUGACGAGGAUGACGAGGUGGAUGUGGACGGGGGCGGUGCCAGCGGAAGGGAGGAUGAGCUGGAGGAGGAGCCCGAUGUAAAGCCCUCGUUGAGUGAACUGAAUUUGGCCAGGGCUCUGCAGCCUUUGCCACCUUUGGUGAGAUUACCCCUGCAGACUAACACCCCACCAGGCACGUCCCAAAAAGUGCUCCUGGCCACUCCCAUUGUGCCGCCGCAGGCGGGUGGACAGCCCAUGACCAUGACCAUCAUACCACUGGCCACCCUGGCCCAGAGCAUCACACAGAUUCCUGCCCCGCAGCAGCAGGACAAGGGUCCUGCGGUGCCGCCGCCCAAACUAGAAAUCAAGCAGGAAAAGGACAUCAAAAUGGAGCCUAAGGACCCAGAAGAGUUUCACGCGGAGCAGACGGAGACCGAGCCGCAGCAGAACGAAGCUCAGGCACCAAGCGAGAAGGAGUUGGAAAUGCCACCCACAGUGCAAAUUAAAGUGGAGCCCGAGCCUGAGCCUGAGCUGGAAACGGAAAUGGAAAUGGAAGAGGAGCCAGCGGAUCUCGAUGAAGAUGCGAACAAUGGUCGCUCUAGUGUCACCUCGCUGGCCGAGGUCCUUGCAGCCAAUGUGUGUGAGGACGAGAUGGAGUAUAUCGAGCGGAUGCGGCAGCGUUCGCCGGCGGCGAUCGAAAUUCCGCUGAAUCCUCGCCAGGGCACCAAGCGUCGUCAUGAAUCCGGACAGGACGACAACAACAACGGCGAAUCCGGUCAAGGAAGUAGGUCGUCGAGUGUCAUCAGCUGCGCCGAUGCCCGCAAGUACCUAAAGCUCCUCGAGGAGUUUGCUCUGUACAAGGAGAACUACCGGCUGAUUGGGCUCAUCACACGAGCCGAUGAAGUGAUGCGCGAAAUGGACGACAAUGUGGCGUAGGACGAGCCAAACAGCACGAGUUGGCCGAGAAGGAGAGGCAGCUGCAGCCAAAGAGCAUUAGCGAUGCAAACGGGAGCAUCUAGAAGAUGCAGAUCGGUCGGAUGCAAUCAAUCAUUAGAUCUAAGUGUUCGCGAUUUACCAUUUGGCAACACAGAAGGUGGCUAAUGAAAUAUUGCCUGAUCUUAUGUAUCUGAACUUAAAUCUUAACCGGUGCCUAUCUCGGACGCGCUUUAAAAUGCGAAUUAAGCCGAAAUCAAAAUCAAUUUUUAAAU